rnacentral:sRNA from 2 species
GGAAAAAUAAGGCUGAAUCUAGAUUCAUCUAGAGCGGGGGAUAUUUUUAUGGGGUGAAACGCGCAUUAUACGCGUCGGGCUUACACCUUCUUGCCCGAAUCCGUCAACUAACCUCGUAAGCUAUGAAAGGUGAAAAA